rnacentral:rRNA from 1 species
CCUUUGGUCUUGUAAUUGGAAUGAUGGGAAUCUAAACCCCUUCCAGAGUAUCAAUUGGAGGGCAAGUCUGGUGCCAGCAGCCGCGGUAAUUCCAGCUCCAAUAGCGUAUAUUAAACUUGUUGCAGUUAAAAAGCUCGUAGUUGAAUUUCUGCUGUUUCGUUGACUGCGUUUGGCGUUUGUCAUCGUUGCGGCUUGGUUGGGUUUCGAUUAUUCGUUUCCCGGCGUUUACUUUGAGAAAAUUAGAGUGCUUGAAGCAGGCUUUUGCCUUGAAUACUUUAGCAUGGAAUAACGGAGUAGGACUUUGGUUCUAUUUUGUUGGUUUUAGGAGCCAGAGUAAUGGUUAAUAGGAACAGUUGGGGGCAUUCGUAUUUGACUGUCAGAGGUGAAAUUCUUAGAUUUGUCAAAGACGAACUACUGCGAAAGCAUUUGCCAAGGAUGUUUUCAUUAAUCAAGAACGAAAGUUAUGGGGAUCGAAGACGAUCAGAACCGUCGUAGUCCUAACCAUAAUGUGAUGCCGACUAGAGAUGGAGGUCUUCUUAUGCAAACAUCUUCUUC